CAUCCCUCAGACAGCAGCUGGGCAAAGUGGCAGCUCCUCCAGAACUUCCUUUGACUCCGGUGGCAUCCAUCCUGGGCUCUGGCUCCAUGCUUGGCUCAGGAAUAACUGCCAGGACCAACCAGCUGUGCUAAGACUCUGAAGCUGCCACUCACUCAUGGAAGGGGAAGGAAAGUGAGGUCCAUCCCAUGUAGGUGGACGAAGAUAGGGCAAGAGGAGGAACCACUGCCUUUUAUGCGGGGUAUGGUAGCUGAGGCAUUUUACUUAGGCAAGACUUGAAGAAAGCAAGCCCAGUAGAGACAGGGUUUCCAUGUUGGCCAAGCUGGUCUUGAACUCCUGAUCUCAAGUGAUCCACCCAUCUCGGCUUCCCGAAGUGCUGGAAUUACAGGUGUAAGCCACCACACUCGGCCAUGAGUUGGGCUUUGAAGGAUGAAUAAGAGUUUGACAGGCUGAGAAACAAAAAGAAGGCAGAGGGGCAAACGGCCAGUUUGAGAUUCUCUUCUACUCUGCUUCAGAUCCUCAGAUAACCAGAGAUCCUGACACUGGGUCCAAGGUACCUGUAGAGAUCUCUCCUUGCUUUCACCCCUUAACCUCGUCAAAUUAAUUCAGCCAUUUAUUUAGUAAACACUCUGGGCACUGUGCUAGGCACCUGGUGCACAACCAAAGCAUCCAGGGGCAAAUGUCACCUUUUCCUCCCAAGGCCAGUGUAGGGGUUGUGGCCCAGUAGGCAAGGAACACAGAACCACGAGCCAAGGGAACUGGUUUUGAGGACUGGCUCUGCCAACUUUUAAGCUGUGUGAACUUAAGCUCAUCACUCAACAUCUCCAAUCUUUGGCUUCCUCGAGUUUAAAAUUAGGUUUGUGACACAUUCCUCUGUUAAAAGGGUAGAAUGAAACAAUGAAUGUGAAAAUACUUUGUCAUCUGGGAAACCCUCAACAAAUCUUAUUUGUUACUGUGACCAGACCAGUUAGGUGAGUAGGAGCCAAUUUGUAUUCAUCAGAACCUCUCUCUGUGGGAAGUAAUAGGAAGCCAAGCCAAGCUGGUCAGAGGAACAAAGACAUUUAUUGAUUCCUUUACCUGGGAAGAGCCUGGAGAAGUUCAGUCAAAGGAAAGUGAUGGGAUCUAAGGCUUCAGGCAGCUGGGACCUGGCACUCCCUUUGACUGCCUUUUGUGUCUUCUUGCCUUUGCUUCUCCUUAAAUCAUGGCCUCCUUCUCUUGGCCCAAGAACCCCUUUUUCUUUGUGGUGGGGAGCAUGGGCUCUGGCAACUCAAGCCUGGUGGGCUCCUGUGAGAGUGCAGGGUGAGGAGGAUAGUCUGUUAUCAGCAGGAGUGGGAGAAGCUCAUGGGCAGAUGGGCAACAGAGCCACACACGUGGUUUUACAGCAAUGAAUGAGACAGACAUGGAUGAGACCCCUUCUCUUCUGUCAUGGAGGGGGACAGAAAAAUAAGCAAUGAAAACAAGCCAGAAACAACACAAUGACUAUCAACUAAUAAAAAAGUACAAAAGAUUUGGCAGGUCCAUGCAAUGGAACAGUAUUUGGCAAUAAAAAGAAAUGAGUACUGAUUCAUGCUACAUUAUGAACAUCAAAAAUUUGCUAAGUGACAGGAGCCAGUCACAAAAGACCACAUAUUAUAUAGUUCUAUGUUUACAAAAGAUCUAGAAUAGGUAAAUCAAUAGACGGAGAAAGUGGAUUAGCAGUUUCCAGCAGCUAGAUGUUAAAACAAAGAGUGAAGGAUGGGGAAAUGGGUAACUCUUUCUGUUAAUGGGUAUAAGGUUUCUUUUUGGGUGAUGAAAAUGUUUUAAAAUUAUGAAAAUUUGAUGGUUGUGCAACUCUAUAAAUAUACCAAAAUUUUUUGACUCUUAUUAUUUAUUCUAUUAUUAUUAUUUUUGGGGGCAGGGUCUCACUCUGUCACCCAGGCUGAAGUACAGUGGUAUAAUCAUGUCUCACUGCAGCCACAACCUCCCAGGCUCAAACAAUCUUCCCACCUCAGCCUUCCAAGUAUCUGGGACUACAGGCAUGUGCCACUACUCCCGAUUAAUUUUUUAAUUUUGUGUAGAGAUGCAGUCUCACUCUGUUGCCCAGGCUGAAGUACGGUGGUAUAAUCACGUCUCACUGCAGCCUCAACCUCCCAGGCUCAAGCAAUCCUCCCACCUCAGCCUCCCAAGUAUCUGGGACUAUAGGCAUGUGCCACUAUGCCCGAUUAAUUUUUUAGUUUUGUGUAGAGAUGUAGUCUCACUCUGUUGCCCAGGCUGAUCUCAAACUCCUGGCCUCAAGCAAUUCUUCUGCCUCAGCCUCCCAAAGUGCUGGGAUUACAGGCGUGAGCGACCCUGCCCAGGCCAACUUGCAUAGUUUAAAUACAUGAAUGUUAUGGUAUGUAAAGUAUAUCUCAAUAAAGCUGUUUUAAGAAAAACAAACAGAAGCGCUGUGUAGAAAACGUAAAUAGGGUGAUGAAAUGGGGAGUAACUUAAUAGUCACCCUAGACUAGAUGGAGACAAAGACUGCUCUAAAGAGGUGACAUAAAAACUGAGGGCUGCGUGGUGUGAACGAGCCCGUCCUGCAGGAAUCUGAAAAAAUAUUAUUCUAGGGAGAGGGGACAGAUAGUCAAAGGCUCUGAAGCAGAAACAAGAAAAGUAUAUUCAAGGAAUCUCUAGAUAGGUUGAUGACGCAGGUAGGGGAAGAUGAUUUGACUUUGUAAACAUCAGUGGGAGGGGUGGAUUUUAUUCCAAGUGCAGAAGAAAGUCCCUGGAGGAUUUUAGCAGGGGAGCAUCAUGAUCUCAAUUAUGUUUUCAAAAGAUCAUUCUGGCUGCUAUGGGAAGAACAGAUUGUGGGAGGCUGGUAUUAAAUUUUCUUUGGCUGAUUAAGGGCAAAGUAUUGAAAAAGAAGAAAAAGUAAAUAGGAUUGAAUCUCUGCCUUAAAAGAGCUAACAGAGUGGUAGAGGAAAUGGUAUAUAUAGACACACAUAAAUCUCAGAAUAAAUGGAUUGUAGAAACCACACAGAGAGAGGGUAGGAAGGGUUGUGGGGACUCAAAUGAAGACACAAUGUUAACUGGCAACGAAAAAAGCUUGUCAGCAAAGAAAAUGUCUAAGUGGAGUGUAAAAGAUGAGCAGAAAAAGAAAGGGGGGUGGUCUCCUGGCAGCCAAAAUCGCGUCUUACUGUAUGGCAGUGAUAAGGUGCAGGGAGUAUUAAGAAACAAUAUGCUCUCCACUUAAUCUACAGAGUAAAAGGCAAAAUAAGAAAGUGAUGAGGGACAAUGCUAAUAAUAAUCACAUUUAAUAAAAACUUACUAUGUGCCAGGCACUGUUUUAACACAAAGCAUAAGCGAAAACAUUUAAUUCUCAAAUCAGGAAUGUGAGGUAGCUGCUAUUAUCAUUCUGCCCCCAUCAGUCAAGGCCCCAGUAGGAAGAAAUGGUGCAUUCACUUUAGAACAAUUCAAUGGAUGUUUAUUUUUAAAAGCCUAUUUACAAUGCGUGGGCAGAAAGUUGGGGAACCACAAUGGAAAGUGCAGGAACCCAUGGCUAGCAACCACAGAGCACUCAAUAAAUGAUGGUGUGUUUCAUAUAGGUUGGCCUCUGUAUUAGUCAGGGUUCCCUACAGGGACAGAACUAAU
rnacentral:lncRNA from 10 species